rnacentral:sRNA from 1 species
UGACAGAUAUGUCUUCCAGAGUUUGCGA